rnacentral:rRNA from 1 species
GAUGAACGCUGGCGGCGUGCCUAAUACAUGCAAGUCGAGCGAACAGACGAGGAGCUUGCUCCUCUGACGUUAGCGGCGGACGGGUGAGUAACACGUGGAUAACCUACCUAUAAGACUGGGAUAACUUCGGGAAACCGGAGCUAAUACCGGAUAAUAUAUUGAACCGCAUGGUUCAAUAGUGAAAGACGGUUUUGCUGUCACUUAUAGAUGGAUCCGCGCCGCAUUAGCUAGUUGGUAAGGUAACGGCUUACCAAGGCAACGAUGCGUAGCCGACCUGAGAGGGUGAUCGGCCACACUGGAACUGAGACACGGUCCAGACUCCUACGGGAGGCAGCAGUAGGGAAUCUUCCGCAGUGGGCGAAAGCCUGACGGAGCAACGCCGCGUGAGUGAUGAAGGUCUUCGGAUCGUAAAACUCUGUUAUUAGGGAAGAACAAAUGUGUAAGUAACUAUGCACGUCUUGACGGUACCGAAUCAGAAAGCCACGGCUAACUACGU